rnacentral:rRNA from 1 species
CCAGACUCCUACGGGAGGCAGCAGUGGGGAAUAUUGCACAAUGGGGGAAACCCUGAUGCAGCGACGCCGCGUGAGGGAAGAAGGUUUUCGGAUUGUAAACCUCUGUCUUUGGUGACGAAAGAUGACGGUAGCCAAAGAGGAAGCUACGGCUAACUACGUGCCAGCAGCCGCGGUAAUACGUAGGGGGCAAGCGUUAUCCGGAUUUACUGGGUGUAAAGGGAGCGUAGACGGCAGCGCAAGUCUGGAGUGAAAUGCCGGGGCCCAACCCCGGAACUGCUCUGGAAACUGUGAAGCUGGAGUGCAGGAGAGGUAAGCGGAAUUCCUGGUGUAGCGGUGAAAUGCGUAGAUAUCAGGAGGAACACCGGCGGCGAAGGCGGCUUACUGGACUGUAACUGACGUUGAGGCUCGAAGGCGUGGGGAGCAAACAGGAUUAGAUACCCCAGUA